UUUUAGUGAGAAAUAAUUUUUACUUAGAUAGUGUAAGGUUGCUAAAUUGCAGUGGUUAAUUUUAUUGGUUUGGGGGGUCAAGAUAUAGGAAAAUAGUAAAAGUGUAGGCUAAAUUUGUGCCAGCAGUAGCGGUUAUACAGAUUAUGCAAUAUAGGAGGUUCAGUUGUAGUUAAAUUUAACUUGGAGGAGGUUGAAUAGGGUUAUAUUAGGUGAAAUUUUAUAGAAUUUAAUACUUUUUAAUUAUGAGGCUAAUAAUUUUUUUAUUCACUGGGAUUAGAUACCCCAUUAUUGAAAUCGAGAGUAUGAUGCUGAGUUAUUCUUAGUUAUUUUCUUUAAAACUAAUAGAGAUGGCGGUAUUUUAUCUUUUCAGAGGAGCCUGCCCUGUAAUUGAUGAUCCACGAUUAGGGGUAUCUUAAUUUUUAGUUUACAUAUCGUUGUUAGUGGUUAUUUUUUAUGAAGCAGAAUAUCCUAAAAAUUGCAUAAAAAUAGAUCAGGUCAAGAUGUAGUUUAUAUUAAGGUAGAGGUGGGCUACAAAAGUUUUAUUUAUGGAUAGAUUAAUUGAGUUUUUCUUGAAAAUGGAUUUGAAAGUAAUUAAGGGUAAUAUUUUUUUGAUGAUUUAGUGCUAAAAUAUGUACAUAUCGCCCGUCGCUUUCAUUUUGAUGUGGAAUAAGUCGUAACAAAGUAGGCGUACUGGAAGGUGUAUCUGGAUUGUC
rnacentral:ncRNA from 1 species